rnacentral:rRNA from 1 species
GGUAUGCUGACGAGUGGCGGACGGGUGAGUAACGCGUAGGAAUCUGCCUAUCUGUGGGGGAUACCAGUUGGAAACGACUGUUAAUACCGCAUAAUGUCUACGGACUAAAGGUGGCACUUGUUGCUGCCGCGGAUGGAUGAGCCUGCGUUAGAUUAGCUUGUUGGUGGGGUAAAGGCCUACCAAGGCCGCGAUCUAUAGCUGAUUUGAGAGGAUGAUCAGCCACAUUGGAACUGAGACACGGUCCAAACUCC